UGGGGAAUUUUGCGCAAUGGGGGAAACCCUGACGCAGCAACGCCGCGUGAGUGAUGAAGGCCUUCGGGUCGUAAAGCUCUGUCAGAGGGAAAGAAAUGCUGGGUGGCUAAUAUCCAUUGCGCUUGACGGUACCCUCAAAG
rnacentral:rRNA from 1 species